rnacentral:tRNA from 1 species
AGAGUGGUGGUUCAGUGGUAGAGUUCCCACCUUCCAGGUGGGAGAUCUGGCUUCAAUUACUGGCCAUCGUU